rnacentral:precursor_RNA from 17 species
UGCCUGCCCCUCAUUGGGCCAUUUGAGACUAACCCGUAGAUCCGAACUUGCGGUCGGACCAAUCACACAGGCUCGAGUCUGCGGGCCUGUCUCGGCAUGGCAACAACCACCAAAGGCGC